UGCCUUAUGAUUUUAUAUAAGGUUAAACCUGCUCACUGAUUUUUUUUAAAGAGCCGCAGUACCUUGACUGUGCUAAGGUAGCAUAAUAAAUUGACUUUUAAUUGGGGCCUUGAAUGAAAGGAUAAUUGGGUAGUUUCUGUCUUAAUUUAAUUAAAUUAAACUUACUUAAAAGGUGAAAAUUCCUUUAAAUAGAAAAUAGACGAGAAGACCCUAGGAGUUUAUAAUAUUUUGUUGGGGCGACAAUGUAACAUAUAACUUACAUUUUAAAUUUAAAUUAAACGAGUUUAACUAAUUAAAAUUAAACUACCCUAGGGAUAACAGCAUAAUUAUAAUUUUAGUUUGUGACCUCGAUGUUGGACUAGGGACUUUUAAAGCUAACAGCGUUAAUUGGCAGUUCUGUUCGAACUUUGUUACCUACA
rnacentral:rRNA from 1 species